GGAGGCCUCAGGGGGUCAAGUGACUUCCUCAAACCGAUUAGUUCCUCAUUUCAAACCCAGAGUCUUAGCCGUAGACAAACCCGGAAAGCAUCUAAGCCAGCCUCCCAAUCGUCUCCCACUCUUCCUUCACACCUAACCACCUGCUUACCCUAAAGUCUCCACGAAGGGGCUGUUCUAGGCAUUCUUGGUUGGUUCUAGGGCCUGGGAGGACAAUAUACACGGACUACAGGAUAUUUGUUGACACUCCCUAUAUCAUGCCGGGAGGGCAGCAGAGCUGAGUUACCUGCUUGGGGGGCUGGGGGGGGUGGCGAUUGUGGUUGUAAGAGCCUGUUCUCUCUCCCACCUCCUCUCCCAGACUGGACUUUAUGAGUGCUCUGUUGGCACAGGACCGGCCACUCUGGAUAGCUCCAGUCCCUUCGGUCUUUCCUCAAUCAACUGUCAGACGGAUGUCAGGAACACAAGCUACCUGACUUUCUACUGACCUAAUAAAACCAAUCCAUGAGGUUAAGUUGAAUCCAACCUGCCUCAGCACAGGUCAAAGGUUUCCAUAUUGGAUAGGAUUCCAUUUCUUCAGUCCAGUUUUUUUUUUUUUUAACAUUUAUCCUGUGUCAAGACUACACCAUUUAUUCAAGUGCCAUUCCCAAAGGCUUUCACAUCAACUUGGCAAGGUGGACCUUACCCUGCCUUCUGAAUGAGUUGAAGGUGAUCUGUGGGACACUCCUAUCCUAUCCUGAGGUGACUGCAGCGCCUUUCCCUGCCUUGGAAUGCUAGAACCUGUUAGCGUGAGUGAGAGGACGGUAUCGGUAGUGUAUGCAGAACCUGCUCUGGGCUGACAGCAGUGAGGGGCAUCCCUGUGAGCAGGAUAAGUUAUUUCACAGUCCCUGGUGACUUCAGAGUGACAUGCAUGGUUCUUAGUCUACUGGAAGAAUUCAACAACAGCACGCCCAUAGAGGUUUAAGAGUUAGGACAGGAAGAUAAUUCAAUAUGAAAAACGUUUCUUCGUAUUCGUUGGCCUUGGAAGCUCAUUCUAUGAGCCAAGGGAGGUGUGAGGGGUUGGUUUUAAGACUAGUAACCUGUAACCUGCUGGUAACCUGCGGCCUUGUGAAAACUCCCGUCUCUUCACUUCCUGUGAGGGUAGAUUGUCUUCUUUAAGUCUCUGCCCAUGGAAGCAAAGAGACCUUGCAAACCAGUGCCGGAAAAGCCCACCUUCAUCCUUACUUAGCGAUGCCCUAGCCACUGCCCUUUCUCCCCAUCCCCAUCCACAUAGCUGUGGACAUGAGAUAUCCAAUGCUUGGACUCUCUCUCUAUUCCUCCGUAGCCAGUACCACUUGUCCAAAUUCAACCCCAUACCAGGUAACUUCUAGAAGCAGGAAGCUCAGUCCAGAUCGCCUCUGGAGAGUAGGGAGAGAUCAGACAACAAGAGCUGCCUCACAUCUUGAAUGGUAAAAGCAGAGGAGAUGGAAAACGAAGCCCUCUUGCCUGAAGCAUCACUCACUGCCAGCUCCCAUGCUGGGCUAGACAGACAGAACUCUGUGUACCUGGCCAUCCUGAUUAGCUGGUGGAUCCAAGUUCUUCGGUUGUUGGUGCCUGUAUAAGCUUGUUCUCCAGUGUUUAUUUUUAGCUCUUCUCUCUUUGUAUUGGCCUCAGGUACAGCACAAAGAGAAGUGCUUGCUCUGAGUUACACCUAAUGUAUCUAUCCCAGAAGCACCCGUGAAAGCUCAAUACAAGGUGAUGAUGACCUGCCUGCAAAAAUUGGGACCAACUGAGACCCCCAGCGACCAAAUAGCUUGUCCACACAUGACCUGCUAUCCUCUCUUGGGGACUGUUCCAAUCAUUUCCAACUGGCUCCAGGUUUGAAGGGCUAGCUCCCUUAAGUCUUUCCUCAAUCAACUGUCAGAUGGAUGUCGGAAACACAAGCUACCUGGCUUUCUACUGACCUAAUGGAACCCAUAAGACUUGGCGUUGUUCACACUGAAGAACCUUGAAGUUGAAGGAAGCAAGAGCCUGAUUAUGCAUCCAUACUGCAGUAUCUUCUGUCGACCCUGUCAGAACGCAUCUCUCCAAUUCCAGAAUUGAUGUUAGAAGAAGAAAUACUGGAGUCUGGAGAGAUGGCUUAGUGGUUAAAAGCACUGUCUGCUCUUCCAGAGGUCCUGAAUUCGGUUCCCAGCAACCAUAUGAUGGCUCACAAGCAUCUAUAAUGGCGUCUAUUGCCCUCUUUUGGCACACAAGUGUACAUGCAGAUAGAGCACUCAUUCAUAAAAUAAAUAAAUCUUUAAAAAAAAAAAAAGACGACGAAAUAUUCUUUGGUUUUUACUCAAGCUUUAAAAGACCAGAUUAAACAGUGUCUUUAGCCAAUGGCACGUUCUGUCAAAGAGCAAACGCAUGU